GGGAAUGUGGCUCAGUGGUAAAGUGCUUGCUUAGUAUGCAUGAAGCCCUGGGUUCGAUUCCUUAGCACCA
rnacentral:tRNA from 1 species